rnacentral:rRNA from 1 species
GUGGGGAAUAUUGCGCAAUGGGGGCAACCCUGACGCAGCCAUGCCGCGUGUGUGAAGAAGGCCUUCGGGUUGUAAAGCACUUUCAGAGGGGAGGAAAGGGCACUGGCUAAUAUCCAGUGCAGUUGACGCUACCUUCAGAAGAAGCACCGGCUAAUUCCGUGCCAGCAGCCGCGGUAAUACGGAAGGUGCAAGCGUUAAUCGGAAUUACUGGGCGUAAAGCGCGCGUAGGCGGCUUGGUAAGUCGGAUGUGAAAGCCCCGGGCUCAACCUGGGAACUGCAUUCGAUACUGCUGAGCUGGAGUACGAGAGAGGGGGGUGGAAUUCCAGGUGUAGCGGUGAAAUGCGUAGAGAUCUGGAGGAACACCAGUGGCGAAGGCGGCCCCCUGGUUCGAUACUGACGCUGAGGUGCGAAAGCGUGGGGAGCAAACAGGAUUAGAUACCCCAGUAGUCC